rnacentral:tRNA from 1 species
ACUCUCAUAGCUCAAUGGAAUUAGAGCACUGGUCUACGAAAUCAGAGGUUGUAGGUUCGAGUCCUACUGAGAGUG